CUCCUUCUCCCUUCCCAUCCAUGUUCCUUUCUAUUAACACUCACUGAGGGCUAACCCUGUGCCAGGCACAGAGCUACACCCCUGAGGAUAUGGGGUCAUGGAUUUGACAUAGUGCCUGCCCUCAAGAAUGUACAGACUAGGGGAAGAGAUGGACACUGAACAAAUUAUUACCCCAACAACCACAGUGAGAGAUGCCAAGAAGGAGGCACCUCCAACAGAGCAGUAUAAGAGUGAGUGAAGGCCACCCCGCCUAGUCUGGGGGUUCAUGGACAACUUCUCCGAGGAAAUGAUAUUUGAGCCAAGACCUGAAGGGAAUGCUGCUACUGUGGAAAUAGAAGGAAGGCCCUCGGACUUCACCAUGACUUGUUUGCCAUUUUGGAAAAUGAUGUCAUUGACAGCAGCACCACCCUUGGAAUCUGAGCCGAUAGUGCCAUGCAAUUGUACCAGUCGUCACUUACAGCUAUUUCAUUCAUGGAGACUUUAGUGGUGAGUGGCUGGAGCCUGUCACAGCAACUCGGGG
rnacentral:lncRNA from 1 species